rnacentral:rRNA from 1 species
CCCUUUGAUACUCUGGGCGGUACGCGCGCUACACUGGUUUAUAUAACGUGUAAUUUGGACGAUAGUCUGUAUAAAUCACUAAUAUAAAACCGUGAAUGGGAUAGUUUAUUGCAACUUACAAACUUUAACUAGGAAUCCCAUGUAGAAGUAGUGAAUUAUACUGCUUCGAAUACGUCCCUGCCGAUUGUACACACCGCCCGUCGUUUCUUCCGACUGGUACUCAUUGUGAAUUGCGAGGAGAUUCUGUCAAAUCGUUGUAAAUGCUGGGUAUUGGAGGAAGAAAAAGUCGUAACA